AGGAGACUCCAGCCUACCCUGAUGACAACAUCUGUCAGGAGGAAGACCUGAUAGUGCAGGAGAGCACAGACAUCAGCCCCUGCCACUAUCGGGAAUCUGUGGAUGAGAGUGGAGUCACUCAGCUUAACAUCAGCGAGGAGACUCCAGCAUACCCUGGUGACACCAUCUGUCAGG